UUGCUUUAUAUGUAAUCAUGAACGUGAUUGGCCUGAUUCAGGGUCCUGUUAUGAUGGAAUGGAUUCAGGUGGAGAAUGUGGUGUGCUUGCUGAGACCGUGUUUUAUGUUCCAGCUAAGAACUGAGCUAAAUAUAUGUAUCCUACAGAAUAUGGAAUGUUUCACUUCUAUAUAGCUGACAGAGAACAUGACUGGAGGGAGGGAACAGAGAAGUACAAGUUCUUUGAUAAUUGCCUUGGAUUCUUGGAUAGACAAAAGAUGCUCUCUCCAAUAUUUCUUACUGUUUUGUCAAUCAACUUUUGAGUGAAUCAAGAUGGUCACACCAUAUAAGGGAAGGAAGGAUGAGUCAAGUUGCAGUCUUAAAACAUUCACAGAAUUACU